rnacentral:rRNA from 1 species
UACGUAGGGGGCAAGCGUUGUCCGGAAUCAUUGGGCGUAAAGAGCGUGUAGGCGGCCCGAUAAGUCCGCUGUGAAAGUCCAGGGCUCAACCCUGGAAUGCCGGUGGAUACUGUCGGGCUCGAAUCCGGAAGAGGUGAGUGGAAUUCCUGGUGUAGCGGUGAAAUGCGCAGAUAUCAGGAGGAACACCAAUGGCGAAGGCAGCUCACUGGGACGGUAUUGACGCUGAGACGCGAAAGCAUGGGGAGCGAACAGG